CUGGGUGAGGAUGCCUCAUGGACUACUAGAAAUGCAAGCUCCAAGAGGAAACGUCUGUGUCUGUUUUGCUCACUUUUCACCAUAGCAUCUCUGAAGCCCAGCGUAUAACAGGUGUUCAAUAAACAGUGCUGAAGGAAUGAAGAGCAAACAAAAAUCUACCUAAGUGAAGCAUCAGCAUUAAAAACAAACAUAUUAACAUUGCACUUGGACUAUCUAUGUGGGGAAUGAGAAGAGAUCUUUGAAAAUCUGCUCUACAUCUUACAAACGAGAAAAUUGAAAUGGAAUGUUUCCCUGUUUUUAAACAGGGUUUUUCAUGGUGGCGUGGACCUUCGGCUCUUCUGUUGAGAUUAAUCUUAACCAGUGACCUGUCCAGACCCAAUAACCAAAACUGUCUGCCCUGGAAAUGAGAUUUUACUUACAAGAAGAUUGAUAUAUGACUGGUAAUGUUUACCACAAUUUUAAAAAAUGAAAAAUGAGGAUUUUUCAGAGCUCUAAUGAAACCAAGAGGAAAAUACAGACUUCUGGAAAGGUGUUUUGGACAUUGAAGACUGCAUCAAACUGCAUCUUCAAACUGUGAAGGACUUGAAAUGAAUCACUGGAGACCACCCAACAUCUUUCAGACGUUUAGAUUAAACUCAAAAGCAUAGAAGUGUUCUUAAUAGCUAAAAGGUUAAUACUUUUCAAAUCCCGGGUCAGACUACCCCAGGAGAAAGCCAGAGACACUCUGGUGACCUGGAAAUCCCACAGGCCCCCAGGUGACGUCCCAGGGCUGCUCCUCCACAUUCCACACAUUUUGCUGUCUGGCAAUACCAUGUCAGUUUGAAGCGGAAUGCAGGCUCACACUGUCCCACAGCUGAAAUUCUCCUCCUAAACUGGAAGGGAAAUAGCUCCAAAAACUCAAAUAGCUCAUACAUACGUGUUUAUAAAUACAUGGAUUAUCUCUGGGAGAAAACGUAAAAACUGGUCAUUAUGAUUGCCUCUAGGAAAGAAAGCUGGGUGUGUGGGGGACAUUCAAAGAGAGGAGACGUACUUUUCCUUACCAACUCCUUGUACUUUUUCAAUUUAGAAGGCUAUAAUGUAUUCUUAUGUAUUAAAAAAAUAUGUAUAUUGCAAGUGAAUUACUCUCUAGUGGCCUUUUAGCCUGUCUCACGAUGCAUUCAAAGCAUAAUUUCCAGAUUAAUCUUCCCAAAAGCAUACUUCCCAUCACAUUCUACCCUAGUCCAAUACCUUCUGUGCUUGCCCAUCACUAAGGAUAACCAAUUUACGAGGUUCACAAGAAUUGACUUGCUGAUAUAAUUUAUGUGUCACAGCACAUUUUGAAGUAGAUUAUGCCUCAAGUGACAAGUAGUGAAAUGACAUGAAUUUAAAAGAUUUGGUCAGGGUUACGUAGCUGGUUGGUGGCACUGCUGAAACUUGAGCCUGGAAUAUUGCUGCUUUCUGUGAU
ensembl:lncRNA